rnacentral:tRNA from 1 species
GAGGAUAUAUCUCAACUGGUAGAGUGCAUGCUUGGUGUGCAUGGGGUCCUGGGUUCAAUCCUUAGUACCUCCU